GGACUAGUAGCGUAACGGUUAACGCGCCACUCAGAAAUCGGAUGGCUUCCGCUAGCAUUUCUUGUGGAGAUCCUCGUUCGAUUCGAGGCUAGUGCA